GACAGAGGGUGCAAACGUUGUUCGGAAUUACUGGGCGUAAAGCGCGUGUAGGCGGCUCGGAAAGUCGGAUGUGAAAGCCCUGGGCUUAACCUAGGAAGUGCAUUCGAAACUCCCGAGCUUGAGUUCUGGAGAGGAAGGCGGAAUUCUCGGUGUAGAGGUGAAAUUCGUAGAUAUCGAGAGGAACACCGGUGGCGAAGGCGGCCUUCUGGACAGUGACUGACGCUGAGACGCGAAAGCGUGGGGAGCAAACAGG
rnacentral:rRNA from 1 species